CGAAUCGUAGGAUCAUCUGGUCAUCACCGCGACGGGAGACAGGAAGCCGGUGCGAUUCCGGCACGGUCCCGCCACUGUGACCGGGGAGUGGACCCCACCGGAAGGCCACUGCGCACGCGCGGGAAGGCCGGGGGAACGUCGAUCCGGGAGUCAGGACACUGGCCUGUCGCGGGCCCGAUCC
rnacentral:ncRNA from 2 species